rnacentral:rRNA from 1 species
UGGGGAAUAUUGCACAAUGGGCGCAAGCCUGAUGCAGCCAUGCCGCGUGUGUGAAGAAGGCCUUCGGGUUGUAAAGCACUUUCAGCGAGGAGGAAGGUGGUGAGCUUAAUACGCUCAUCAAUUGACGUUACUCGCAGAAGAAGCACCGGCUAACUCCGUGCCAGCAGCCGCGGUAAUACGGAGGGUGCAAGCGUUAAUCGGAAUUACUGGGCGUAAAGCGCACGCAGGCGGUUUGUUAAGUCAGAUGUGAAAUCCCCGGGCUCAACCUGGGAACUGCAUUUGAAACUGGCAAGCUAGAGUCUCGUAGAGGGAGUAGAAUUCCAGGUGUAGCGGUGAAAUGCGUAGAGAUCUGGAGGAAUACCGGUGGCGAAGGCGGCCCCCUGGACGAAGACUGACGCUCAGGUGCGAAAGCGUGGGGCAGCAGACAGGAUUAGAUACCCUGGUAGUCCACGCUGUAAACGAUGUCGAUUUUGGAGGUUGUGCCCCUUGAGGCGUGGCUUCCGGAGCUAACGCGUUAAAUCGACCGCCUGGGGAGUACGGCC